rnacentral:rRNA from 1 species
AUUGAACGCUGGCGGCAGGCCUAACACAUGCAAGUCGAGCGGAGCGGCGGACGGGUGAGUAAUGCCUAGGAAUCUGCCUGGUAGUGGGGGAGAACGUCCGGAAACGGGCGCUAAUACCGCAUACUAUCAGAUGAGCCUAGGUCGGAUUAGAUAGUUGGUGGGGUAAAGGCUUACCAAGGCGACGAGCCGUCACUGGUCAGAGAGGAUGAUCAGCCACACUGGAACGGAGCCACGGUCCAGACUCCUACGGGAGGCAGCAGGGGGGAAUAUUGGACAAUGGGGGAAAGCCUGAUCCAGCCAUGCCGCGUGUGUGAAGAAGGUCUUCGGAUUGUAAAGCACUUUAAGUUGGGAGGCGUUACCAACAGAAUAAGCAACGGCUAACUUCGUGCCAGCAGCCGCGGUAAUAC